AGAUAAACAGACUGGUUAAAAAUGUCUUUGCAUCAUUCCUACGCUCCAGGGUUAACAGCUUUAAUAAUGGAUCAGUAGUUGUCAACAUGGCUCUUGUGUUCCAAGAUCGAAACUCGGUUCCAUCACUAACUAAUGCAACUACAGCGCUGACAAAAGCACUCCAAAAUACCACACUGGACAUCAUACAAGGCAGUAUAAGAGUGUCAUCAUCAACCAGUCUUCAGUCUACAAUUGGCAUAUGGGCGCUAACACUGUUGACUGUAGCACAAAUCAUGAUCAACAUGUAGGCAGCACUCAAGUUCACUCCAGUGACUUCACCAAAAGUUUUUACUGUGCUAUAAAACCGGGUGUGCCGACCAAAGGAAAAACAAAAGAUAUAAGAAGCUAGCAUUAUGAAAUUUACCAAGAUGAAGUAAUUUGGUGCUCAGAUGUGUGCUGAGUGUAAAAGAUUAAUAUAUAUAUAUAUCUUAUAGUAUUUUCCAGACACAAAUUUAUGGUGCAAAAUAUCUAAUACUUUUUGGCAACGUAUUGGCAGUUACUUGUGACUAACACAUUAGCUUGUUAGUGCACUUGUUUUCGUUGCUAUUGUGGCAUUUAAAAAAAAAACUAUAAAAAACAUACAUAUUAAUUUACAAUGUGGAUUGCAAGAUGCGAAUUAAUAUCCAAACAUAUUAUUGAGUUAAAUGGUGAAACAGAAGAUGUGCAUAUUUAAUGAUGUGAGUUGAACUGAAAUGAUCUUGAUGCAGCAGACAAGUGAUUGAUUCUGUCAUAAUCAUACAGUAUCAGGUGAAUAGUUUGGAAGGUGGAUUUUAAAUGAGAAUCAGCAUACUAGUCUAGCAAAAUAUUUACAUACUACUGUCUUAAUAAAAAUAAGUUUUUUUUCUUCUUUUCAUUGAUUAAUUAGUGCAUUGAUUAAAAGAUCUGUAUGCCUCUAUAAUGAAAUUAAUAAAACCAUUAUUUAUUCAACUAAGUACUAGAAUCUUAGGCUUAAUAUGCUUCUUGUGAUUUUUAAAUGCCAUCUCUUUUACUCUGUUUUUUCACUGCAUUUUUUCCUUUUAAUAUCAGAAGAAGGAAAAACUACUGCAAAUAAUAAUUAUUAGUGGUGUGGUGAAUGUGAUUUGAAGAUUUGUGAACUUUAUAUUUAUAAAAAUAAAGAUGAUGACAAUUACCAGG